CUGUAGGUUGUCGCCAGGUUACGUAGUUUGUCGUAGUGCUGACUUCGGUGAAUUCCAUUGGCGACCACCUACGUCCACCUAGGUCAACUGGCGACAGGUACCGGCGUCAAGAGGGACAGGCAUUGGAAAAACCCAAGUCCACAGAAGUCAAGCUACAACAGCCAGUCGGGAUGCUGAUGAAUGAAGUCCAUCUAUGCCUAUAUCGGGGACAAUCUACGACAAUGUACGACCAUAUCAACGACAAGCUACAACCAUACCGGCAACGACCUACGACAGCUGGCAACCAUCGGCGCCCCCGUGGGAAACGCUCCACAUGGUCACGCGACUAUAGUGUAUGGACAUUGUGCAUUUUGUGUUGGGGACAUUGGACAUUGGAUUGUGCAACAUGGCUCCAAGGAGAAGGAAGAGGCAGCACAAGGGCAAGGCCCAACCCCCGUCCCUACCCACAUCCACCAGGCAGAUGGAGACUGAGGAGACCCAGGAGGAGGAGUCCCAGGAGGAGGUGGCCCAGGAGGAGACCAGGUCCCCUCCACCACCCCAUCCCGGACUGGCCGCCCUACCAAGACUACAGGUACUACUGCUGCUGACCCAGACUCGCCAUCAGAUGAUGCUCAGGACACUGAUGCCUCAAGUGUCUCUAAUGUGUCCACUGUCCAGGAGGAGGUGAAGAAGGGCAGGAGACCCAAGGUAGUUCCUUAUGAGUUCAACAGGGAACAAGAAGGAGAGCUGGUCGAGUGGUAUCAGUCAAACCCAUAAUUGUAUGACAAGAACCACCAACAUUAUAGAAACAAGGACAGGAAGAACUCACUACUUGACACCAAGGACAAGGAAUUCCCUGACUGCAUCUGUAAGUGCCUACUUAUGGGUCUGUCCCACUUAGGCGAUUUUUUAGGGGACUAGGCUGUCGCCGGGGUGUCGCCUGUAUGGCCUCCUCAGUCGCCCAGAGAGUUGUACCUUUUUUCUGGUCACCGUUGGAUUUUGAAAUGUUCAAAGCUUUUCGGCGACAGUCGGCGCCCAUGGGCUUGUCGCUAAUGAUCAUAGCCUGAUAUAGGUGCUGUCGCCAGGAUAACGUAGGUUGUUGCCGGUGAUAACCUCGGUGAGAUACAUUGGCGACUACCUACACCAACCAAUGUCAUCCUGGCGACAGGUACCGGCAUCAAGAGAAGUCAAGUAGCGACAUUGGGAUAAUACAAGCCCUCAGCAUCACAUAAUCAGGUGAAUAUAGUGCGUGGACAUUCUAAAUUUUUUUGUUGGGGACAUUGUACUUUGAAAAAUGGCUGCAAGGAGAAGGGGCAGCCCAAGGGCAAGGUCCAACCCCCAUCCUCACCCACCAUGUAGGUGGAGAAUGUGGAGACCCAAGAGGUGGUCCCAGGAGGAGGAGGCGGCCAGGGAGGAGACCAGGGCAGUGGCCCGUGUCUCCACCACGACCCCACGGUCACCCCGCCCUGUCAAGACUACAGGUACUGCUGCUGCUGCUGCUGACCCAAGCUCAACAUCAGAGGAUGGUCAGGACACUGAUGCCUCAAGUGAGGUGAAGAAGGGCAGGAAACUCAAGGUACUUCCGUAUGAGUUCCGCAGGGAACAAGAAGGAGAGCUGGUCGAGUGGUAUCAGGCAAACCCUGAGUUGUACGAUAAGAACUGCCAACAAUAUCGUAACAAGGACAGGAAGAACUCGCUAUUUGACGAAAGCGAAGGAAUUCCCUGACUGCACCUAUGCUCAACUGUCAGUGGUUCAAGAGCCAAAGAACAAGAUAUGGCAAACUCUCACAGUGGGAACAAGUCAGGGUCUGGUGGCAAAAACUUUACCCCAAGGCAACAGUGGAUCAUCGACAAAUGGGCCUUUAUCAAAUCACAUAUUGUACGAGUGGAGAGUAGACAGAGCACCAAGAAGUUUGACAAGAAGAAGCCACUGCCCAGUGUGUCAAGUGAAGAGGAGUUUGAUCCACUUGAGGGAACCUCUGGAUCCACCACCUCCACUAGUCAGCAGCACAGCAAGAGGAGCAGGACCAUUGCCAGCUCCACUGCAGGCUACACCCCAAAUGCAACUGCGGUAGAGGAGAGAGGCAACUCAACAGCUGAUCAA